UUUUGUCAUGUGUGUGAAAAGAGUAUUUAGUUCCAAAAAUAGAGAGACUUCUAAGGUAGGGCAAUUUUGUUAGGUGGUUUUUUUUUUUCUUUUUCUUUUUUAGGUGAGUAUUUUAAUUUAAAGUUCAAAACAAGUUCAGCAGAUUAGAAUCCCAGAUUUUUUUUAGUGGGGGUAUUAUCCUCAUUUUAUUAUUAAAGGGUGAAAUUAAGCCAUAGAAUUUCUUCUUAGGAAGC
rnacentral:lncRNA from 10 species